GGUCGGGAAUGGUCGGGAUAGCUCAGCUGGUAGAGCAGAGGACUGAAAAUCUC
rnacentral:tRNA from 1 species